rnacentral:rRNA from 1 species
CGGAGGGUGCAAACGUUGCUCGGAAUCAUUGGGCGUAAAGCGCGCGUAGGCGGCUGGACAAGUUGGAUGUGAAAGCCCUGGGCUCAACCUAGGAUGUGCAUUCAAAACUGUCCGGCUUGAAUCUCGGAGGGGGUCAGAGAAUUCCCGGUGUAGAGGUGAAAUUCGUAGAUAUCGGGAGGAACACCAGUGGCGAAGGCGCUGACCUGGACGAUGAUUGACGCUGAGGCGCGAAAGCGUGGGGAGCAAACAGGAUUAGAUACCCUGGUAGUCCACGCCGUAAACGAUGAGUGCUAGACGCUGGCGGAUUGACCCCGUCGGUGUCGAAGCUAACGCGUUAAGCACUCCGCCUGGGGAGUACGGUCGCAAGACUA